ACCGAGAGAGAAGGCUGGCACCCCCUGCAGAGGGGCCCUCUACGCGGCCUGCACCUGCAGUGUCCCCAAGUGGCUGAUGCCGGCUCUCUUCCCUCCCUCCACCCCAGCUUCUUCCCUUCCUAGCCGGUUGGGGUGGUAGCCCCAGUACAUCCGAAGGGAGAGAGUGGUCCUCGGCCGCGUGGGCGCGUGGGCACUGCGUCCCCGGAGCUGCAGCCCCGCCCUCCUGCCAGCCCCGCCCCCUCCCCGGCCCGCUGGCAGGAGGCGGGGCGUGAGCGCCGAGCCCCGGACGGAGGGGGACGCGCGUGCAGCAGCUUCUCUCCGCCAGAGCCGCCGGGCAGAAGCCGUGGCUGCCGAUCCCGGUGGACUGGCAGUGGGCGGGGAGCGGAACGCGGGAGCCCAGCGCGCGCCGCCAGACAAGUGUUUUUGUGCGAGGCCGUGGCAGCCGCCUCAGAGCUCUGAACGCUCGGUGCAGGGGAUGCGAGCGGCCGCGGCGGCUGUGCCAGGAGGACCCGAGCGCCAUUGACCUGAGCGAGGGGACACACUCCCUUGGGUCGUCUGAGUGCGGGGGAGGGGACGGCGGGAGCGCGGGGCGCACGCCGGGCGGGGCAGGGGGUCAGUGAUGACCGGGCGCGCGGGGAGGCUGCACGCCGCCGCCGCCGCCCGGAGCAUCUGCUGCCUGAGCUGCGGAUCGCGGCCGCCGCCCGGGCCAUGGAGACGCUGAACGGCCCUGCGGGCGGCGGCGCCCCGGACCCCAAGCCGCAGCCAGCCGGCCAGCAUCACCGCCACCACCAUCUGCACCCGCUGGCCGAGAGGAGGAGGCUGCACCGCGCACCCUCGCCCGCCAGACCCUUCCUCAAGGAUCUACACACGCGACCCGCCACGGCCACCCCCUCUGCGGGCCGUGCCCCGACUCCCGCCGCUCCUCGCUCGCCCAGCCUUACCGGGAAGGCGCCGCCGUCGCCCGGGUCCCCGGCCGCGCCGGGUCGCCUCUCCCGACGCAGCGGCGUAGUCCCCGGCGCGAAGGACAAGCCGCCGCCGGGCGCCGGAGCCAGGUCGGCGGGUGGCGCCAAGGCCGCCCCGGGGACCAGGAGGGCGACGCGCGCGGGGCCCGCGGAGCCACUGUCCCGGGUCGGGAGGCCGGCUGGGGCCGAGCCGCCGCCUGCCCUCUCGAAGGGUCGCAAAGCCAAGCGCGGCCCCGGGACGCCUCCAGCUCGCGCCGUCGUGCCCCCCGCUCCAGCCGCCCGGGUCCCCGCUGUGACCCUCUCUGUGACCUCGGUGGCCGGCACCCGUAUCAGCCACACGGACAGCAGCUCGGAUCUCUCCGACUGCGCCUCCGAACCCUUGUCUGAUGAGCAGCGCCUGCUCCCCGCCGCCAGCAGCGACGCCGAGUCGGGCACCGGCUCCAGUGACCGGGAACCCCUACGCGGAGCACCCACGCCGAGCUCCGGCUCCCGCGGGCCGCCGCCGGGCAGCCCCGAACCCCCUACGCUGCUCGCGGCGCCCCCUGUCGCCGGUGCCUGUCUCGGGGGCCGAAGCAGCCCAGGCGGGACCCCCUCAGGGUCUCCGGGACCCGGUUCUCAGGAGGAUGUUGGGGGCCGAGCGCCACCGGAGCGGACAAUUCUCGGGACCCCCAAGGAGCCUAGCUUGGGCGAACAGCCCCGGCUCUUGGUGGUGGCAGAGGAGGAGGAGCUGCUGAGGGAGAUGGAGGAACUGCGCUCGGAGAACGACUACCUCAAGGACGAGCUGGAUGAACUUCGAGCAGAGAUGGAGGAAAUGAGAGACAGCUACCUGGAGGAGGACGGUUACCAGCUCCAGGAGCUGCGGAGAGAGCUGGACCGCGCUAACAAGAACUGCAGAAUCCUGCAGUACCGACUCAGGAAGGCUGAGCAGAAAAGCCUGAAAGUGGCAGAAACAGGGCAGGUGGAUGGGGAACUUAUCCGAAGCCUGGAGCAGGACUUGAAGGUAGCCAAAGAUGUGUCUGUCAGAUUACACCACGAACUUGAGACGGUGGAGGAGAAGCGAGCCAAAGCCGAGGACGACAACGAAACGCUCCGGCAGCACAUGAUCGAAGUGGAGAUAUCCAGACAGGCCCUCCAGAACGAGCUGGAGAGGCUGCGGGAGAGUUCUCUGAAGAGAAGAGGCAGCCGGGAAAUUUACAAAGAGAAGAAACUUGUUAACCAGAUAACCCUCCCUCGGGCUGUUCUUGCCUGGCAGGAUGACAGUGCGGAUUUGAAGUGUCAGCUUCAGUUUGCCAAGGAGGAAGCCUCCCUGAUGCGCAAAAAGAUGGCCAAGCUGGGGAGGGAGAAGGACGAGUUGGAGCAGGAAUUGCAAAAGUAUAAGUCCCUCUAUGGUGAUGUGGACAGUCCCCUCCCAACAGGAGAGGCUGGCGGUCCCCCCAGUACCAGGGAGGCAGAGCUGAAGCUGCGGCUGAAGUUGGUGGAGGAGGAAGCCAGCAUCCUGGGCCGGAAGAUCGUGGAACUGGAGGUGGAAAACCGCGGCCUCAAAGCAGAGAUGGAAGACAUACGGGUUCAACAUGAGCGAGAGGGAACAAGCAGGGACCACGUGCCAGGCAUCCCUACCUCACCCUUCGGGGACUCGAUGGAGUCCUCCACAGAGCUCCGCCGGCACCUACAGUUUGUGGAAGAAGAGGCAGAGCUGCUGAGGAGAUCCAUAUCUGAGAUUGAAGACCACAAUCGGCAGUUGACCCAUGAGCUGAGCAAGUUCAAGUUUGAGCCUCACCAGGAGUCAGGGUGGCUUGGGGACGGUGUAUCCAAGGGACCUGGGGCCAGUGCUCCCCUGCAGGAGGAGCUGAAGUCAGCCAGGCUACAGAUCGAUGAGCUGAGCGGGAAGGUACUGAAGCUGCAGUGCGAGAACCGGCUGCUGCUGUCCAAUGCCCAGCGGUGUGACCUUGCUGCGCAUCUGGGGUUACGCGCCCCGAGUCCCAGGGACAGCGAUGCGGAGAGCGACGCGGGCAAGAAAGAGAGCGAUGGGGAGGAGGGCCGCCUUCCCCAGCCAAAGCGAGAAGGCCCUGUUGGUGGGGAGAGCGAUUCGGAGGAUAUGUUUGAGAAGACCUCGGGCUUUGGAAGUGGAAAGCCUUCAGAGGCGAGUGAGCCAUGCCCGACAGAACUGCUAAGAGUCCGGGAGGACACCGAGUGCCUGGUGACCAUGAAGCUCGAGGCCCAGCGGCUUGAGCGGACUGUGGAGCGCCUCAUCUCGGACACCGAUGGCUUCAUCCGUGACUCAGGCCUGCGGGGCAAUGGAUCGGCCUCACCUGGUGUCCAAGGGGAAGGUGAGGGCAGCCUGAAUGAACCUCACUUGUUGGAGACCAUCAAUGGGAGGAUGAAGGCUUUCAGGAAAGAGCUGCAGGCCUUCCUGGAACAGAUGUCCCGGAUUGUGGAUGGUCUUUCGCCCUUAUCCCACCUCACAGAGUCAUCCAGCUUCCUCUCCACUGUGACUUCUGUGUCCCGGGACUCCCCCAUCGGGACCCUGGGGAAGGAGCUGGGCCCAGACUUGCAGUCCAAACUGAGAGAGCAGCUGGAAUGGCAGCUCGGUCAGGAUCGAGGGGAUGAGCGAGAGGGCCUGCGCCUCCGAGCCACUCGGGAGCUGCACCGGCACGCGGAUGGAGAUUCCGGGAGCCACGGGCUGGGAGGCCAGAGCUGUUUCAAUCUAGAGCUCAGGGGCUCCCCAGUUUUACCCGAGCAGAGUGUGUCGGUAGAAGAGCUACAGGGUCAGCUCCAGCAAGCGGCCAGACUGCACCAAGAGGAGACAGAGACAUACACAAACAAGAUCCGAAAGAUGGAGGAGGACCACCUCUACGCUCUGAGGUGGAAAGAGCUGGAGAUGCACAGCCUGGCCCUGCAGAACACCCUUCACAAGCGAACUUGGAGUGACGAGAAGAAUAUGCUGCAGCAGGAGCUCCGGUCCCUGAAGCAGAACAUUUUCCUCUUCUACGUCAAGCUCAGGUGGCUGCUGAAACACUGGCGCCAAGGGAAGCAGAUGGAGGAGGGAGGAGAGGAUUUCGCGGAGAGCGAACAUCCAGAGAAUGUGCCUGGGCUUGCUGAGCUUGGAGUCCAGGGGGGCCACCGGACAGAUGGAACAGACCAAGAGGGUACUGACCGAGGCUGUGGCCUUCCCAUGGGAGAGCCUGCCCCACACUCCCCGGUACAGAUGAGCGAACACGGAUCACGGCUGCCGACUGCAGAUGGGGGACCACUCAGUAAACAGGUGGUGGAAAACCAGCAGCUCUUCAGGGCCCUCAAGGCCCUGCUGGAGGACUUCCGUUCGGAGCUUCGUGAAGACGAGCAUGCGCGUCUGCGUCUGCAGCAGCAGUACGCUAGCGACAAGGCUGCGUGGGAUGUGGAGUGGGCUGUGCUCAAGUGCCGCCUGGAACAGCUGGAAGAGAAGACUGAGAAAAGCUUGGGAGAGCUGGACUCCUCUGCUGAGGGCAAAGGGGCCUUGAAGAAGGAGAGAGAGGUACACCAGAAACUGCUGGCUGACAGCCACGGCCUAGUCAUGGACCUGCGCUGGCAGAUCCAUCACCGAGAGAAGAACUGGAACCGGGAGAAGGUGGAGCUGCUGGAGCGUCUGGACAACGAGCGGCAGGAGUGGGGGAGGCAGAAGGAGGAGCUCCUAUGGCGGGUGGAGCAGUUACAGAAAGAGAAAAGUCCCCGGAGAAGCGGCAGUUUCCUCUGCAGCCCAAGAGAAGAUGACAACCGCCCUUACCCACACCAAGGAAGCCUACACCCGUCCCGUCCUGUGUCCAUGUGGCCCUGUGAAGACACUGACUCCAUCCCUUUUGAAGACCGGCCGCUCUCCAAACUGAAGGAGUCGGACAGGUGCUCAGCCAGCGAGAACCUGUACUUGGACGCUUUGUCCCUGGAUGAUGAUUCAGAGGACCCGCCACCCCUCAGGAACUGCCUUGCGGAGGAAGAAGAAAGUCGCAAAGGAAAUCUUCAAAGGGCAGUGUCUGUGUCCUGUAUGUCUGAGUUCCAGCGUCUGAUGGACGUCUCCCCGUUCCUGCCUGAGAAGGGCCUACCAUCUGCCAGCAGCAGGGAGGAUGUCACUCCACCCUUGUCCCCCGAUGACCUGAAGUACAUCGAAGAAUUCAACAGCAAAGACUGGGACUACACAUCCCCCAGGGCUGGGGCGGAUCGGCCUCCAGACCUCUGGGCAGACAGGACCGAGGUGGGUCGGGUAGGGCACGAGGCCACAGCGGAGCCUUGUCCCGACUCCUCCUGGUACCUGACCACAAGUGUCACCAUGACUACAGACACCAUGACCAGCCCAGAGCACUGCCAGAAGCAGCCACUGCGGACCCAUGUCCUCACCGAGCAGUCUGGGGUGCAUGUGCUGCACAGCCCGCCUGCCAUCCGCCGGGUUGACAGUAUAGCAUCAGGUGGUGAGGGCAGGAGCCGAGUGGACCCUGAGGGCCCCUUUCCCAUGAGCAGAGCAAGAGGGAACCUGGCAGAUGCCAAGGGUGGUCAUCCAGAACCUGUGCUCAACAGGUGGCCUUGCACCCCACCCAGACACCCCCGAGACUGUGUGGAGGGGUCUCUCCGCCCCCUCGACAGACCUCUCUGCCCCUCCCUGGGAUUUGCCUCCCCUCUGAACAGCCUAGAUAUGUCUAGGAACAUGAGUGAUGACAUGAAGGAGGUGGCCUUCUCCGUCAGGAAUGCCAUGUGCUCUGGUCCUGCCGAACCCCAAGUCAGGGACAUGGCUUGCCAGACCAAUGGGUCUAGGACAGCAGGGACACAGACCAUCCAGACAAUCAGUGUGGGCCUGCAGACUGAGGCCCUGCGUGCCAGUGGUGUCACCAGCAGCCCCCACAAGUGUCUCACGCCAAAAGCCGGAGGUGGCACCACACCUGUGUCUUCUCCUUCCCGCAGCCUUAGGAGCAGACAGGUGGCCCCCGCCAUUGAGAAGGUGCAGGCCAAGUUUGAACGCACCUGCUGCUCCCCAAAGUACGGUUCUCCCAAACUUCAGAGAAAGCCCCCCUCAAAAGCUGACCAGCCAAACAGCAGGACCUCACCAGGCAUGCCCCAGAAAGGGUUCAGUGAGUCGGCUUGGGCCCGCUCCACUACCACGAGGGAGAGCCCUGUGCACACCACCAUCAAUGAUGGCCUCUCCAGCCUUUUCAACAUCAUCGACCACAGUCCGGUCGGGGUGAGGGCCGGGAGCCGAUCUCGAUCAGCAGAACCUCGACAGGAGCUGGGUCCAGGCCAGGAAACAGGCACCAGUUCCCGAGGAAGGUCGCCCAGCCCCCUAGGGGUAGGCUCAGAGAUGUACAGGGAGGAUGGUGGAGAAAGCACACCAGUGAGACAGGACCUAUCUGCACCCCCUGGCUACACGCUCACUGAGAACGUGGCCCGGAUCCUCAACAAAAAGUUGUUGGAGCAUGCCUUAAAGGAGGAGAGGAAGCAAGCCACCCAUGGCUCCUCAGGUCUCACCAGCGACAGCCACCCUGGAGAAGCAGUGCCAGCUGAACCAGGAUCCAUGGAGGAGACAUAACAUUCAUAAAUUCUGUCCUCGUCUUCAGCAAGACCCUCCCCUCGCCCCAUCAUUCCUUGAGAAGGAUGAUCCAUCAGGAAAUGUCUACAAUGAUUGACCACCACCACCAUAAAUGGCUUACCAGGAUAAGAUCCCACUGGAUGCCUUCUGAGCCCAGAAGUACCAAGACACCCGGAUGUAGGUUGAUGUCUUCAGGUGAAGGCAGACACAGAUAAAACGAGGCCUGUCAUGGAAGAGAAGGAAGGGAGGCGGGAACGGCGUUUUAGAAGGGAAGGAAGAGACAGAAAGGAGCAGAGAGGCAGCAUGGAGGCAGAGGUCAACGAUCCUUGCCUCGUAUCUCUACAUAGAUAGAGGUUGUUAUCGAUAUUUCUUAAGGGAUGGAUCUCUGUAGGUCAAUCUAUCUUACCCAGGUGAGUGGUUUACAUCUUUAUCAACUGGUUGUGAAUUUAUUGUGUGUAUGUCUUCCGGAUUGAGAAUUUAACAUAUAAAUCUGAUUGUUGGGUUACAGUUUACUGAGUCAUGAUGUCACCGGGUAGUUGGAAGUUUACCCUUUAAUUACCAGAGGGCGGUUGAUGGGGGUUGAGCAGAGUCUGUGUCAGGGAGCCACAGGAGGCCAGCCCCAUGCUGGACUUCUAGAGCCCUGAUUUUACCAGGUCGCUGGAACCAGAGAGUUUGCAGCUAGAAGACAGCCACCAGGAGAGAUACGAACCAGAGAUAAAUUAUGGUUAGUUCCAUAUGGCCCAGCAGUGCCAGAACUGACUCAAGGGACCAGCAUGGCAAGGUAACAUGCUAGAACAGCUCGUGGAUGCCUGGGUCAAAGAGUACUUGGGGGCAACGUGGAGCUACUGAGACAAAAAUACCCUGCAGUGCCACGUGGCCCCACAGGUGCCAGCAAUAGCGCGAGAUAAAAGGUUCCCCCACAUUUUUUAAUGUUUCCCACAACACCCAGGAAGGAGUCGUAUCACCAACUUCAUAUGCUCUGUCUCCUAUGUACUUAGUGUAAGAGACUGAGCCACAAGCACAGCCCGUGGGAGCCUCUAGUAACAUCCUGUUAGGGAAGACACAAUUCGUCGGCAUUCAACAAUAAUUCGCGUCCCUUCCAACUUCUGACCACACAGCCACCGACUCUUCCUGUGAGUCUUGCGCCCACUGCACAGUCUCCAUUCUUCAUCCACCCCUUUUAACUCUAUCCUGGAGCUGGUGUAAGGUGUUCAGUGUAAAGUCUGUGGCCAAGACUCUUUCAUUUAGCCAAUCGACCUACUAACCAUAUAUCAUACUCUAGCCUAGAGGACACAGGGAUGACCAUGUUUCUGUCUCAGAAACAAUCUGGAGAGAAAAGGCUCAAGUUCCCCCUUGUUAUCUCUCAGAGUGACAGAAAACACAAAAGGUAAAGCCAGGAAGAUGACAUUUUCUCAGGGAUGUUUGUUCGCUAGUUUGGCUCACUCUGGGAUGACAGCUUGACUCUCACAGGCCUGCCCUCCUCACUAAUUCUUUCUGUCGUUGGCUCUUUUGCUCUGAACUUUACCAUGACCAUCUCUGGGUAUUUGUGGGGGUUCUAUUGAAAUUAAAGAAUCCUGGACGCAGCAUCCAUACAAAAUCGAUAAGUGAUUGACACACAUGCUCACUGCUCCCUAGGGAGGAGGUACUGCCUCCUGGUUGGUGUAAUGGGGCAGACAGAGCCCAGGAGUUCACUGCUUCCUCUGUAAUGCCUCUGCCUUCGCUAUCAGCUCUGACUCAUCCAUCCUCCUGCUAACGCAAUCGCUAAAAGAUCUUUGUCCACCGGCCUCUUUGUCCAGCAAGCGAGCCGCCCUUCCUGGACUCUGCAGGGCUCUGUUCACAGCUGCAGCCCCUUCCUCAGGCCUCGGGCUCUGCUUGCUUUCACAGCUCGUUCUGCAGUCAGCAGUCCUGGCAAAUUGGUCCUCUGGCUGUGGCUGUGGCAGACACAGAAGUAAUGCCUCCCCAGGGGACCCAUCUGCAACCGCUCCUCUGCACACAGGCACAGGGCAGGACAGCAAAGCAGAAUCUGGGCACGAUGGGGAGCUCUGAGUCACUUCAUGAUGCCUGUGACAGGGCCUCUGGAGGCUGGGUAAAGAGGGAAACCGUACCCAGAGAAAAUCUGGAAGGAUCAGACUUGAGGUCCAAGGACAGGGACUCACAAAUAAUGGGGAAGGAAACUCAGCACAGCAGAGGGUAACUAUUGGGGUUGAGAUUGGCCGGAAGGGGCAGAAAUCCAAAGAUCCACUGAGUCUUCAGCACAGCGAAUAUCUUCCCUGUAGAAACUUGAGUUUGCUGGGCUGCUAAGGAGCUUUUUGAGCGUAGGAACCCGAGUUCAUUUUAUACUAUAGCUGUCAGACUCAACCGGAGAGCUUUAGCUCGGGUCUCCCUGCUGCCUGUCCCCUGGACCACUCGCUGCCCAACACUACUUCCUUUUGGGGGUUGGAGGUGAGGUGGCGCAGAAUCAACUGGGCAGACUGGGAGCAGGAGAGAACCUGCAGCAAGCUCGUGGGAACGCUGCUACUAGCUUGGUUAAUACCCUCCACCCAUGCACCAUUGGUCCUCAGUAAGAAACUCUUCCAAAAAGCCGUUCCUGAUUGGCUGGCAUCGUCUGCAUCAGCAAUCCUUGGUCUCUCCUGCAGUCUUCAAUUAGGUCCUCCAGGAGGAGCUGCCUUUGUGGCUGCGCCCCCUCCCCCCCAUUAUGCAGAGGCCUCUGGUUCACCGCUGCAUUACUCCACAGAGCAGAUGAGAAGAAGUAAUGAAUUUCUGUGAGGAAAGUUCUCACAAGUUACACGUGGCUCCCCUGCUUGUGUGUCUCUGAGGUGGAAGUCAGUGACAGCUCCACGUGGCAUUGAGAGAAGUCACCUCACGUUCAACUGCAGACUUCCCACUAACUUCCAUGAAUAACAUGAGUAAACUCUCAACACUUAAGGUCCCAGAGGUGGAGCGCUUUCAGGGUGACAGAUACAGCAAGCAGGCAGCUAAAAGACUGCAAAAGGUGGCGGGCAGUCUGAAGUUAAGGGACAGUGAGGUUGAUCUGCUGAGUAAAUAAGAAAGACCUUCAAAGGUUGAAAAGAAAGGAGUGGGACGAACAGGCUGAAUCCAGGGUGAAAUUAAAGCAGUAGACCUUUAAGCCACAAUUUAACCACAGAUUCAAGUUUAUUCCGUAAACAUUUCAAGAAAUCAGAAAGCUGGGCUUGGUGUACAGCGCUUAAAAGGCUAAGCAGAAGACUCACAAGAAUCAUGAGUUCAAGGCCACCUUAGUUGUAUAGUAAGAUUCUAUCUUAAAACCAUCACACACACAUGCACACACACACACACACACACACACACACACAGAGAGAGAGAGAGAGAGAGAGAGAGAGAGAGAGAGAGAGAGAGAGAGAGAGAGAGAGAGAGAGAGAGGUAGGUCAGAGAGAGGGGCGCCAGAAGGAGGGAGGAAGAAGACAGGGACAGACACAGAGUUGAGCAAGGAGAGGGGCUAGAAGGGGGAGAAGAGAGAAAUAAAGAACCCAGAAGCCUCUGCUUUUGAGCCUCCCACACUAGAAGGAUAAGUAAGAAGUCAGUGUCAGAGACUGAGCCCUUCGGUCCCUGAAGAGGAGCUCCAAUGUUUCAUCUCCUCAGCCAUUGUCGGCUCAGCACGAGGAAACGGUCAAAUAUUCCCUGUUGUGCUGUGCUGUGCUGGUACCUGCCUGGAUUUUUUGACCCCAUUUGAAAACAGGGCUCUACCUGCUUUGAAGAUUGAAUAUAUAAGGUAAUGAAAACACACACACACACACACACACACACACACACACACACAGGUGUGGUAAUGAAGUGGUACAAAUGCUGCUUGGCUAACAGGGCAGAUCUGUUGGAAACCACUGAGACCCAGAGGCAGGCUCAGCAAACUCGGGGUCGUCUAAGCCACUCUGACGAGCUGAGGGUCCUGUCUGGCUGCCACCCUGGCAUGAGCGUAAGGUGGCAGAAAUUUAGCCAGGAACGGCAUUCAGGCAAAGGUUUUUCUUCGUCUCUCCCGCAGCUCCAAAGGAGCUCUGCUCUGUUCUUCAGCCUUAGGGCGAGAAAGCCAGGCUCGUGACAUCAGGAUCCAAAAGGGGCUGAAGGAAUCUCAAACAUGGAUCCUGCAGCAAACCAAGUUCCUGUCAAAGGAGAUGGAAAUGUAUGUUCUGCACUCAUGUGGUGCCGAGGGGUAACUUCCUAGCUACCCGCUUCCUGAAACCUUCAUUUUGGAAGCCCGGGCUCCCUAUCCUUGAAUAUCUGGUAAUGUAUACUAAAGUAUAAAGUAUAUAGUGCCAUUUAUGCUCCAGGACACACUGCAGCACUCUAGGCACACACACACACACACACACACACACACACACACACACACACACACACUACUAAACCUACAGUGUUAUGCUUCAUCCUAGACACAUACGAUGAUGCUUGCCUCAUGCAUUAGGCACAGGAAGAGAGGAAGAACAGUAAAUAACAGAAUAGGUGUAACAGUUAUAUGUGGCAAAGGCUUAAAAUUUCUGAGUUAUUUACUUCUGGAAUUUUCCACCUAAUAAUUCAGGACUGCAAUUGACUCCAACUGGCUGAAACCACAUAAAGUGAAAAUGGAAGAUACUUGGAACCAAUGUGUGUCAUGUUAGUAUCCACAGCGGACUAGAAAAGAGUUCUGCAGAUCCCUAAAGCUAAAAAAAAUGCAGUUUUCUUUUAUUUUCAAUAACACAUAUACACAAUAACAGACGAUAACAUACUUACCUAUGCACUAGUGAAAUAAAUACUUAACAUUUCCACGUCACUUAUAUUUGAUCUGUGACCCGUUCAGGAGUAUGGCUGCAAAGUUGGAUUAAUGAGUGCCGAGUCACAGCUCCAAGGAGAGGGAUGUCACCAGAGGGAGACAUAGGGUUAUUCCUGGAAGCCUCUGGUGUGUAUGUCCACGAACAGGAUGUGGUAUGGUUGCCCUAGCAACUGUUCUGUUGCUGUGGAGAGAAAGCACAGCCAACACAACUUGUAAAAGAAAGCCUUAACUAAGUUGGAGGCUUGCCUCAAGUUCAGAUCAGGUAAAUCAGAGAGAUUGCGCCCGGUAUGAACUUUUGCAACCUCAAAGCAUGAAGGCGUUCUCUGAAACAGUUGAACAGUGGGCCUAAUGCGAACUUAAAUCCAUGGAUGGAUUCAGAAUUUGAAUAGACUGUGGACAGGGACGGUGUUGGAGCUGUGGCAGACGAGGUGUGGUUAAAGAGGUCGCUGGAGCCUGCCAUUAGGUCAGUACAUCUCUCCCCGACCCCUGCCUGUAUUACUUCCUGGUUACUGAUCCUUCCUGCUCUCUAUGAAGCAGACGGGCCCCCUCCAUGUUCCACCGCCUCUCACUAUGGAGGCGAAAUCAAGAGGAGUGAGGGCUAUGCGUGGAGAGCUCCACAAACAUUCAUUAAAUGUGCACAGCUGAUAAAAGUACAAACUGAGCUUUCUGCGUUUGCGCACUAUUUAUUACAUCGUUUUCAGAUCUCACCGCCUUUCUUCUCUAACGGAUAAGGGGAGAGCAGGGGUGCUGAAGAGGGGCAGGGGGAGGAUUUCAGGAGGACGGUGGGAGGAAAUGUGAGGUAACACCGUGAAAGAGAAGGGAGUCCAGCAGAAAUGCUCUGGGAGCUUAAGUAUAGAGGGAGACGGCGACACCAGCCCGUCGUCCCGAGAGUUUGUUCCUUGGUAGUGUCUAGCUUCUACCUCACAAAGAGAAAGCCUGGGGAAUAGAAGGAAUGUGAAUGCUUGGUUAGAACCGGGUGGAAGAAGUUGGAAGCCCCAGUUAAUCCCACACCAUUGUGUUUCCUAUGGGAAAGUCUUACCCUGUCAGCUGUCACACACAUUCUCCAGCCAGCCCCAUCACAACCUCUCUGCAAGGUCGUUCUGAAGCUUCCCACCCAAAUGCUCCAGAUUUUACCUCUCCCUCAGCUCUGCAACCGAAGCUGUAGACAUGGCCGAGAGUGUCUGUUGUGUACUUGGGUGGUGGGGUGUUUACCAAACUAUGUGCAUACAAACUAUCCUGUUUUUAUCUGCUAGCCUUAGUGUCCCCACAUUUUACUAAUAGAAAAUUGUAGAGUUUUUCAUUUCAGGGCACCUCUUUAUACUGUGGGAACCCAAAAGUUCUGGAAAAAUAUGAAAUAGUUCUGCUAUGAAGGCAGGGAGGCAGGCAAACGCAGGAGGCAGAACCCAAACACAUUUGAAAGUACUUCCCGGGGGAAAGAAUGUCACAUUUGAAAACAGAAAAACAGAUGUCUUCCCUCUUUCCUUAGCUCAGGAGGAAGUUACUUGAGCUGUAAAAAUCCAGUGUUGCAGAGCCAGCAAAUUCCUUAUCCUCCAGCUGCAGUUUUUACUAUGUCCAAGGCAGGCACGGAUAGAGUCUGAGAUCAUUGAAAAUUUAAAAGAGUGGAAGCCACAAUCAAAAUGUCACCGGGUGAGAAUGAAUGAAUGAAUAAUUUAGCUCACGAAAAGUUAACAUUUAGAGACGUCCAGACUCGAAGAUUCCGAGAGGCAGUAGCUGCCUGGAAUAAGAUAGCUCCCCCUAUCCUAUUAAAAACACGAUAGCCAGAGAAUCUAUGCGACCUUCACAGACGCGUGACGUUUUUUUUGGCAGGCGUGUGUUCAGACCUGGGGGACAGUAGCCACAGAGUUACCCAGCCACUGUUAGAGCUGCGGACACAGGAACUCUGUUCAGUUUAAUUCAUCCAUCUCUUCCUGAGCUCCCCCUAAUGAGAAUGAGCAGCGAGGGCUUGGGAUGACAGCUGGUCCAGCCACCAUCUCCUCUGAGAAGCAGGCAAGACACAGGACAGCAUAUCAGGCCUGGAGAAGCAUCCCUGGAACUGGAGUUACAGACAGUUGUAAGCUGCCACAUGGUGCCAGGGACUGAAACCUGAUCCUCUGCAAGAGCCACUCUCAUCUGCUGAACCACACCUCCGCCCUUCAUUUAUUUCGGAAGCUAUCACAAUGGGCGGGUUUUUUGCUCCUAUCGUUCCACAGAGAAGCCCUUCCUUGCACGGAAUUCUACUUUACACAGAUAUUUCAGUCACCCAAAGAUUCUAGGCUUUGCUGGUUAAUUCCCAACUGUCUCACAUCUCAUCACCUAGACAGAACCCUCACAAUGCCUGCCUAUGUUUGCUCUGCCCCAAUAGAGCUAAACGGGUUAAAUGUAUCCUUUUCCAAGGGCUUAUUAUUUUAGAAAAUGCUUCUUUAAAACUUCUGCUUUUUAGCUCAAAUGCAAUGAACAGGAAAGCAAAGUGUGGCUCACCCUGCUUUCCUGAAAUCUAUGUUAAAUAAUUUUGUUUGAAGAAAAACAAAGAAGAAUGCCUCCCCAGCCCCUUUCCUUGGGAAGAAUUCUCCUCCCUGGGCUAUUUCUUCUGCAAGCCCUUUCAGCAACAUGAUUUUCGGUUGCAACAUAUGUGAAUCUCAAGUUUUUUUCCUUCUUGGGGAAAACUAGAAAAAGCACAAAAUCGAGUUCAGAAAUAGAAGACAGGCGUUAUAAAAGAAGAUCGGUGGGGCUGGCCUGGAGGCCCACACACUGGGGAGACAGAGGCAGCCAAUCAGACGUUCAAGGUCGUCCUCUGCCACAGGGUGAGUGCCAAGCUUUGAGAGGAGUGGAAGGAGCAGAGGGAAAAGUGUGUGUAGCGUGGGCAGCACCAUGCUGGCUGAGGAGUCACGGCACCCAGUAGGGUGUGUCUGACAGCAGCUACAUCAACAAGAUCAGAGAGGAAUCAAAAAUGACUCCUUUUUUAAUGGAAAAAAAUUAAGUAAACAAGCAUACAGAAUAAAAAUAUAACGAUACAGGUCCUGUAGCCAUAGGUAGUGCAGAGCGUCUGCUGUACUUUGCUGCUGGAAGUUGUAGGUGGUGAGUACAACACCCCCUCUUCUCCACCUCACUCUUUUUUUUUAAAGAUGUAUUUAUUUAUUUAUUUAUUUAUUAUUUAUUUAUUUAUUAUAAGUAACUAUCUCUUCAGACACACCAGAAGAGGGCAUCAGUCCUAUUACAGAUGGCUGUGGGCCACCAUGCUGUUGCUGGGAUUUGAACUCAGGACCUCUGGAAGAGCAGUUAGUGCUCUUAACCACUGAGCCAUCUCUCCAGCCCUCUGUCUUACUCUUGGACCUCUGGUUUUGAAUUUAUAGGACAGGAAUGUGUUCGUCUUCUGUUUUCUCCAUAUUUCCCAAGUCAUUCUACUGCGGCAAAAUGAAUAUUGGAAUAUAUAAUAUUCAUCAUUAUAAUUUAAUGUAUAGUCAAUAUUUUCAUCUGUAAAUAUAUUAAUUUAUUAGGUAGGUGUUUUUGUAUCAGUAAAAAAAUUUAACUACCUAAGACCUUUCUAGAGUAGAGAGAAAUAAGAACUUCAUGUGUUUGUGGGGCCUCCUCACAUGAUGGGGGUUCAUUUAUACUCAACUCUGCCAGCUCUCUUCUUCCACCACAGGCUGUUUCAUAAAUGCCCAUCUGAUUCCCUAAUUGAUCAUGAGCUUUGUGACGCUGAGAAAUGACCCAUCUCACUUACCCUCUGUCUCCAGCUCAUGGAGCCUGAAUACUACUAGGUGCUCAUUGUAAAUGAAUUGAAAUAUCUUUUCAUACAAAGAAGAACAAGAAUCAUAAGUAAGCCACUGUAAUUUCCAGCUGAGGAACAAUGUCUACAGCGUUGGAAACCCUUAAUUCUCUUGGUGGGAGUAAAAGCUAAUGGAGCCACUACAGAUAUCAGUUAAGAGGUUCAUCAAAAAGCUAAAAAUACAACUAGCAUCUGACCAAGCUGUACCCCUGGUAGAUAUUUACUGCGAUGCAUGUAAGUCAGCAUCUAACAGACACCUGCACAGCUGUGUUUACUGCAGCUGGAUGCGCAGUAGCCAAGCUUAGGGAUCAGCCUGGGUACCCAUCAAAGGUGACGGGUAAAGAAAAUGUGUUAUGUGCACAGUGGUGUUUUGUUCAGCCACCAAGGAGGAAUGGAACUGUCAUUUUUCAGGUAAAUGGAUGGAAUACAAGGUCAUCAGAUUAAAAGACAUUGGUUAAGCCUAUGAGAGCCACUGCACUGUGCAAUGUAGCACUGUGCAAUUAGCACUGUGCAGUGUAGCAUGGGCAGUGUAGCAUGGGCAGUGUAGCACUGUGUAAUUAGCACUGUGCAGUGUAGCACUGUGCAGUGUAGCACUGUGCAGUGUAGCACUGUGUAAUAAGCACUGUGCAGUGUAGCACUGUGCAAUUAGCAUUGUGCAAUGUAGCACUGUGCAAUGAAACAUUAAAAAAAGACGAAGUCUGGGGAGGGGGCAGAAUUUGAGAGGAAGGGGACCAUUGUGAGGAGCAUGAGAGAUGACGAUGGGGUGACAGGAAUAAGAACAAAUUAAUGAUAUAUGCCUGCAAAGAUUGAUAGAGAAACCCAUCAUUUGGUGUGAUAAUAAAAAAUGCUACCCAAGAGCAGAUCUGUGCACAAGGAAACCCAUGACCUUUAAAUCUUAAUGAACACAUAAAGAAAUGAUAAACGGUUGGCGGACAUGCAACUACCCUGGUCAGACAUUAUACACUGUUCAUGCAUUGAAGAGUCAUAGUGUACUCCUCAGACAUGUCUAACUAUCAUGUGCCAUUUAAAAUAUUAGCAGGACAAGUAUGGUUUUCCUGUUGUACACUAAUCAAAGGUAAGAAUACUCACAAUUUCAGCAGAAGCUAGAAGAAAGGAUUGUGAAUUCAUUUUAUCACAGCAAAAUGAUAAAUGUUUGAGGAGAUUGGAAUGUCGAGCCCAAUUUGACCAUUUGCAGAAUGUAUACAUGCGUUAAACUUUCCAAUUACCCUGUAAACAUGUACAACUUUAGGUGUCAACUUAAAAUAUAAAAACAUUAGGCCUUAAGGGAUAUAGAGGUCAAGACGAAAAGACAAGACUAGGCAUCAUCUUGACACCUUUUGAGAAAAUAAGGGCUAAGAGUAACUUCUAAACGUCACCCAGUUAGAGUCUCUGGUAUCAAAAUACAUGCGUCCUCAAAGUAAGCACUCAGUGCUCCAUUUUAGCCUACAAGACCGUUAAGUGUGAACCUCUUCAUUGCGUAUUGGAGCUGCCCAGUAUGAACAAGAACAAGACUCCUCCUGUUACUCCUAAGGUCCAGACUCUGCCAAUGCAAGAUCUGGGUAACCCUGACUGAGAUCAAGAUGGACAGGAGGUAGUCACGGAGGAAGGCAUGCGUCCAACCACGCAGCGAGUGACUAUGGGAAGGUCAAAUACCUAAAACAUAGGAGACCACUGAGGCUACUACUGGCUGUGCAGUUUCCAACGCAGCAAACCUUUUCACUUGAUUCUAAAUAUGUGGAAGACAUGGCACAUUGAGUACACAUUUGUUAGCUCCCUCUAGCACUGCUCUGUAAGGUCCAGGUGCUUCUCAACUUAUAAUGGACCAGGCUCCAGCCCAUCCCAACAUAGGCUGGAAAUACCACAUGCUGAAUGGUCUCACGCAUAGACACUGUAGUGUUUCGGUCCCUCUCAACGGUAUGGCCUUUUAGGGGUGACAGAUGUAGUCCAGUAUCUAAGAGAGAGUCACACUAGCCCAGGAAAAGACCAAAAUUCAAAACUUGGAGUAUGGUUUAGACAGGUCUUUGUUUUUAAUCACCAUAUUUGCAUAUAUGUAUAUAUGGGGUGAAUAUGCAUAUAUGUAUAUAUACAUAUGUGUGUGUGUGUGUGUGUGUGUGUGUGAAGCCAGCUAGCUCUCAGAUGCUCAAAGUACUGUACAUUUGUGUGACAGACAUGUUUGUGUCUCACCUCUAAUUGACAACUGACUUUGAGCUGAGUUCUGUAAGAGUUCUAAACAUUAUAAAUAUUAAGUAAGAGGCCACUGCUAAUUGGGAAUACAGAUCAUCAAAGUACCAUGUGAUGGCCACAUGCAAACAGAUCAGCCGGAAUCACUAGGACGUUUAGAAGCAAACCGUGUCACGUUUAGUCACAUUUAGGAGUUAGAAUGCAGUGAGUCUGAUGGUCCAAUCAGUAGGAAAAAAUGACAUAGGGACAGCUCCCCAGAUGAAAACCCCUAAGGAUGAACUUUACCGUAUUUGAAUCACAGUAAAUCCCAGAUGGGCUGGAAAUAUACAUUUGAAAAGGAACAGAAGCAUCCAGGAGUUAAGGGGCAUGUGGGGAAUGGUAGGUAAGGGAAGAAUUUACAUGUAUGAGAUUAAAUCUCAUGUCUAUAUCCUGGUAAUAAAGAACGUUUUGCUGCUGGCUCACAAGGGUCUGCAGUUCUAGUUUCAGGGGAUUCGAAACCCUCUAUUGACCUCUUCAGACACCAGGCAUGCACAUGUUGCAUGUACAUGCAUGCAGGCAAAAUACUCACAUACAUAUGAAAACAAAUAUUUUAAAAAAGAACAUUGCUGACUUUUGCCAGUUUGGGGAAGGUAUCCUGGACUCCCUCAGCCUUUCUGGGUAUCAAGAAUGUCUCUGUCACUCCAUGAUUAUUGAUAGGUCAUGCUGGUGGGGUGACUCACGGUGGGGCCUCUAUGCACUUUACACUAAGGGAUGACUCCCAGUAGGAAAAGGCUUCACAGAAACACCAACCAUGUGAUGAAGGAACCAGAGCUUUGCGUCAGGAGACACCAGGUCCAACCUCAGGCUAGGGAAGGGAAGCUAAGAUUUGAUUCAGCAAACUCUGGACAUUUGCUCCGGUGGCCAUCCAUGAUUGGCAGAACUGUGCAUAGUAUUCCACACUGAUAUCCCAGGAUGCAUCCUGAUUCCACUGAGAGAAAGCCCUGGAAGCUUUGCAUUUAGGGUCUCUCCUGUCCUCAGCCUUCUCUUGGUUGGCUGUGAUUCAUAUCUUUUUUUCUGUAAUAAAGCCAAAAUUCCAAAAUGACACCACUGUUCCCCGAGUUCUGUUCACCAUGCUAGUGAGUGGGCUGUGGGAACCCUUGUACCCCAAUCCAGUGGUUAGAGGUAAGGGUGGCCCUCAUACCUUGAAAUUGAAGGCUGGUGUCUGCAGCAUAGACAUCCUGUGGAUGGUGGAGCCCUCACUGUGAAGUCUAUGCAAACUCUGGUAGAUAACACUGUCAAUGGGGAAGGGACAGAGACAAAGCUCCAAUCUGUCACCCCCAGCAGCCCGAGGGGUUCCCUCACUCUGUUAGUUAGGGACCUCAACUCAAGACAAACCUGGAUUGAUGGUUUCCACACAGAGAAGAGUUUCAUUACAUAGCCAGAGUAGAGCAGAGUUGGAGAGUUUAUUGAAUGUCUUUAAUAUGGACUUAACAAAUGUGGGUUAGGAAGAAGAAAAUGUGCCCCUCUAAAAGGCCGACCUAAGGUCAUGGGAUGGGCUUUGCUGAUGUUCGAGGGGUAAUCAAUGUAACCGGGAAAAUGCUGUCACUGUUCCAUGCUGUGCAAAAUGCUUUCCCAUGAGGCUCAUUCGCUCCUCGAAGUGACGUUUGGAUGUGCAAAUCUUGGCUCAUAUCCUAUAGAAGAAAACCGUGAAGUAGUGUAGAGGGAAAACAGCAUCAGCCAUGGGACCUUGUGCUAUUCAAAGUCUGCAUGUAUGGCAUUUGCAUAUAGAAAUAUUGGCAAUCUAAAGAAAUUUGACGUCUUUAAAGUGACCAGUGGGUCUUCUCUGUGCCAAGAGGAUGUGACACAGGGAUAAAAUAUGGAGUUAAGUAGCACAAACAAAAAGACCCCCCCCCAAACAUACAUACACACAUACAUUAUGCAGGAUACCUGUUGACUGGGUGGUUAUUGGUGAGAACUCCAGUACAUGAGGCGUUUUUAUAUAGCUCAUCUCUUCCUAUCAUAAGGAAACUUUAUUUGAACAAUACGUCAUUUUUUUUAAAAAUAAAAAGCCUAUGUUAGCUUCU